ACAUAGUCUGCAUGAAACCCCCCAAAAUAUCAUGUGCUUCUCCAUUAUUUUUUUAUGAAUGCCAUCUCGACGUGAAGCCUGCUCUUGACCCCCCUUAAUGUACUGUCCACCCUGUUUAGUCAUCAGGUGCUGACAUUCUGAGUUACAGCCAUAUUAAUUGCUUGAUAAAAGCUAUAAUCCCUUCUCUUUGAAGCCCUAGGCUGAUUUUUAGGCAGCACUUCAAAAGCUGCACACAACUAAAGAGGCAAAUUUCCUACCGCACAGAACAUUAGAAUUUAUCCUAUCUACAUCACACACAUUUGUGUGUUCAGCAAAUAGUGUAACACGGCUCUGUUACAAACGUUUUUUUUUUUCUUUCUUUUUUUUUUUUUGCAAGGACCUGCAUUGUGCUAUUUAUAACAUGUGAUCUCAUCUGGAGAUGAUUAUAUACAUUCAGAGAAAUCUCAGCCUCCAAUGAACAUUUCCACCGUUCCUUACCAGUCAUACGUACUGAAGCUAUUUAUAGAUGUAUUAAUCAGACCACAAAAGAAAAUAUGCAGUAAAGGAACAAUCAGGGAAAUUUAUGACCUUGAUGGAUGAAAAUACUUUGAACAAUUCUGUAAAUUACUUGGCAGAAGGAUUAAGAAAUAAAUUGUAAUUCCCUAAGAAGAUUCCCUAUAGAAGAGAGCAUGACUCUCCAAAAAGGGGUUCUAUGGAGGUCCCCAGAGAUGAAUACAGAAGAAAUGCUGCUCAGGUCCAUUUCAUGAAUCAACCAUGGAGAUUGGAGGCCAGACUGGGGGUGCUACAUGAGAAGAGAUUUGUACAUAGAACAAUGAGUCCUAUCAGAUGGGCCUGUUACAUAAACCAAGUGAAAGCUGGAUUCCAAACUGUGUCUAAAAAUGAAUAAAUAAAGAAGAAAAGAAAAAUGAGUCUGCCCUAAUACUGUACAUUAAAAUCAGGUUAAUCUUUAAAGCAAGUUUUGAAAAGAAACAGAUUAGAUUUACAGCAAUGGAUAUAAAUUUGCUCAGCAAUCCUGAUGGAACAUAGAUUGAUUAUUUUAUUCGGAGUGUAGAUCUCGUCUUUCAUUCAUUGUAUUAUGAGGAGGUUUUUCAGUCAGGUGGUGCUGAUGUUUCCUUUAGUGAUUUAGAGUGUCACUAAUGGGAUUUUAAAGCUCUUAGAUAUGUGAGUAGGAAGCUUUGGUGUAUCAUUUUAUGUGAGGUGGGCUUGCACUUCGCUAUCUAUUGUUAACUCCUAAUUACACCGCCUAUUUAAAUCAAUGUUUUUAAGUCAAGCAUUGUAAGUAAAAGAGAUAGUUAUUGUGUUCACUAGAUUAUUAAAUGAAGAAGCCACCCCGUAUGAAUAUUGAAUUAGCCUAAAACUAGAGACUAGGGAUUUCUCCUGAGUGAAGUGUCCAAGAUGUAUUUCAAACUGAAUAGGUUUUACAAAGUAACAAUGAAUAACACUACUCUCUGCCUUAAGCGGAUUGUAGGUGGAUUUACUUAACUCAAUGAUUCUCCACUUCCACUCAAUAGGAGAAUACCCUGAUGUGGUAGCUGAGAUGAAUAAGAUUAUAAUCUGUUUUUCAAUUAAAAUCUGUGAAUACUUACAUCUGAUAUUUUUUUUUUGUAUUGAGAAAACAAGUACCUAACUAUAGUAAUAUUGCAAAUAUAUAUCAUGCAAUGAACUGUUCUUGUUAAAAUACAGAUGUCUUGAAAAUAGAUAAGGGUUGCAUACUUUAUUUGCAACAGAUAAUGUAGAUUUGAAUUGUGUUUUCCAAUGUAUAUAAGCAGCAAUACCUGAUCCUGAAUUGUUUUUCCCAAUUUACUUUAGUACCAAUACCAUACAUAGAAAUCUAUCAGGAUGCAACUAUAAGAGAUGUAAAAGUUGAAAUCACAAAAUGAAAUAAUAGUGAAUACCAGUUCACCCUUAUCCAGCUCUUGAUCCCUGUCUCUAUGCAUUAAACAUUGCUUUUUCAUAUAUAAAUGUCAUGCGAUCCAGUACUCAUUGUUAUCUUCUUAAACCAUCAAUACUUUAUUAGUUCAAUUUUAAAAUAAAAAAACAGCUAAAAUCCAUAGCUCCUCGGCAAGGCUGUUUGAACGAAUUUGGGGGCCCCAAGUAAAAUAAACAUGGAGCCCCCCCCCCCUCCCCACAUGUGGCAAUGUGGCAAUGUGAAAUUAUAUGUCAGGGGCACAGGACAGGGGUUAUUAUAAGUGAGGGACACAUGUCAGGGGGCAUUAUAUGUGAGGGGCACAUGACAGGGGGGCAUUAUAAGUCAGGGGCACAUGUCAGGGGUACAUUAUAUGGGCACAUGAGAGGGGGAGGCGCCGGUGUGAUGGUGUGACGUCAUCGUGCCGGCCUGCAGUGUAUGGCGUCCCCGCGGCUCACACUGCGUGAACGGAGCAGCAUGUGAGAAAGGUGAGAGAAUUUUGGAGCGGGAGAGCUGACAGCUCCCGCCCCACAAUGCUAUAGGACAGGAGGGGCUUUAGUCUCUGCCUCCCGGACCACUCCAGGCUCUAGCACUGCUGGCCCGGCCGGCCAACAGGGCGAGCUGCUGAAUCAGGAUAGGGGCAGGAGGACAGCCCGGCAGGACAAGCAACGGCUCUGCUUGGGGCCCCAAGCAAUUGCUUGGUUUGCCUGUCCUGUAGUGGAGUCUAUGUUGCUGCUUGAAAGGCGGUCAUAGAAAAGUUCAUACAAGGUUUCAGAAGCUGUGGUUUUUACAAUUUUUUCCCCUUGUAAUAAAAAGAAUGUAUUAAUUGUUUUAAGAAGAAAAAUGGUACUGUAUCCACUGGAUCUGAAAGGUUACAGUCACACCUGGACAGCAAAACUAUAAUGGUUGCCCAACAGCUCCCUUAGACCACUAUUAUAACUGACAUGUGGGAGUUAGGGAACCCUAUUGUAGGUUUUGCUAUGGGGUCAAGAUGCUUGAAGAAACAAGAGAAUCUGUAAACAUUAAUUAAAAAAUUAGUUAUAAACUACAGUGUGGUGACGUAAUGGGUGCUAUUUGGGCACUAUUCAAAAGCAUGUACAGUAUGCAAAUGAUGGUGCUUCCUGAUCUGAUUGGCCAAAAGACGCCACAUGGUCCUGGCAAAUGCACACUUAUAACAGCUCAGCCAAUAAAGUAUGCUUUUUACUGGAUAUUAGGGGUGUCAUUUAGUGGUUCAUUAGCAUCCAGUUAAGCAGAAUGUAAUAAGCAUCUUAUAGAUGCUUUUUAUUAAAUGGAUACAUCUUUGCAAAUAUUCCAUUACAUUUUCUAUUCCAAAGUAAUAUAAAACCUAAUUUAAAGUUUUACUUCAAUUACAAUCAAUUUCAGAACAAACAUUUUACAAAGCAUCCUCUGUCUAAAAAUAAAUAAUUUAAUUGUAUUUAAACUUUAUUUACCAAAUAACACACUCACUGCUUAUAGAGAGCCAUUUAGAGAGCUUGGUGCGCUGACAUUUGUCUGUGUCUCAACAAGUAUUAAACAAAUGAUAGACAGUUAUUAGCUCCUUAUGAAAAAAUACUCGUAUCUUACAUAUAUAAGCCAUGGGAAAAAUCACUUGGUAUUUUCCUUUGGCAACUGCUCAUAAUUUGAUGGAAAAUUGAUUAAUCACACAUUUAACUCAAUGCAAGAUCCUCUGCACUGUAAUAAAUUAUGGCCAUUAAUCAAUAACUACAAAGUAAUUCCAGGAGUCUGGAGACAUGCUGGUUUCUAAUAGAAAACUUGCGCUCAGGCCUUUCCGCCAGUGUCCACUUCAUCUGAGGUAUUUUGCACCUGCCUCAAUCCAAUUAGAUGACAUAAUUAAUGAACCUCAAUGCACUUGAUA